GAUGAACGCUAGCGGCAGGCUUAAUACAUGCAAGUCAAGGGGGUAGCAAUACAACCGGCGCACGGGUGAGUAACGCGUACACAACAUACCAUAUACUGGAGUAUAGCUUUGGGAAACUGAAGGUAAUCCUCCAUAACAUUGCGAGAGGGCAUCUGAUUGCAAUUAAAGUUUCGGCGGUAUAUGAUUGGUGUGCGUUUGAUUAGCUAGUUGGUAGGGUAACGGCCUACCAAGGCGACGAUCAAUAGCUGGCGUGAGAGCGCGACCAGCCACACUGGAACUGAGACACGGUCCAGACUCCUACGGGAGGCAGCAGUAGGGAAUAUUGGACAAUGGAGGAAACUCUGAUCCAGCCAUGCCGCGUGAUAGAUGAAGGCCCUCUGGGUUGUAAAUAUCUUUUAUCUGGGAAGAAACACUCCUAUUCUUAGGAACUUGACGGUACCAGAGGAAUAAGCACCGGCUAACUCCGUGCCAGCAGCCGCGGUAAAGU
rnacentral:rRNA from 1 species